UUUCCGUAGGUGAACCUGCGGAAGGAUCAUCCAUAAUAAAGUGUUUUAUGGCACUUUUUAAAAAUCCAUAUCCACCUUGUGUGCAAUGUUAGAUCUCGUCAAUCUUGGCGAGAUUUUUAUACAUCAACUCAUUUUUUAACUAAUUUGUCUGAAAAAUAUUAUGAAUACUUAAUUCAAAAUACAACUUUCAACAACGGAUCUCUUGGCUCUC
rnacentral:misc_RNA from 1 species